ACGGAAGGCAGCAGUGGGGAAUAUUGCACAAUGGGGGAAACCCUGAUGCAGCGACGCCGCGUGGAGGAAGAAGUAUUUCGGUACGUAAACUCCUAUCAGCAGGGAAGAAAAUGACGGUACCUGACUAAGAAGCCCCGGCUAACUACGUGCCAGCAGCCGCGGUAAUACGUAGGGGGCGAGCGUUAUCCGGAUUCACUGGGUGUAAAGGGAGCGUAGACGGCAGGGCAAGUCCGAUGUGAAAACCCGCGGCUCAACCGCGGGCCUGCAUUGGAAACUGUCCGGCUAGAGUUCUGGAUGGGCAGGCGGAAUUCCUGGUGUAGCGGUGAAAUGCGUAGAUAUCAGGAGGAACACCGGUGGCGAAGGCGGCCUGCUGGACGGAUACUGACGUUGAUGCUCGAAAGCGUGGGGAGCAAACAGGAUUAGAUACCCUGGUA
rnacentral:rRNA from 1 species